rnacentral:precursor_RNA from 13 species
UCCAUCCUCAGGAAUAUCAGACCUGUGGGACAGGUCCAAUCUCACAUGUCCUGUAUAGAAUAAAGGGGGAUAUAUGUGGUCAGACCUAUCCCACAGGCCCUGUUCUUCCUGGGCAGAGAC